rnacentral:rRNA from 1 species
CUUGACCGCUGGCGGCAGGCCUAACACAUGCAAGUCGAACGAGUGGCGGACGGGUGAGUAAUGCUUGGGAAACUGACUGAUGGAGGGGGAUAACUACUGGAAACGGUAGCUAAUACCGCUUACCAUAGGAUGAGCCCAGAUGGGAUUAGCUAGUUGGUGGGGUAACGGCUCACCAAGGCGACGAUCCCUAGCUGGUCUGAGAGGAUGACCAGCCACACUGUGAGCGAGACACGGUCCAGACUCCUCCGGGAGGCAGCAGUGGGGAAUAUUGCGCAAGGGGGGCAAGCCUGAUGCAGCCAUGCCGGGUGAAUGAAGAAGGCCUUCGGGUUGUAAAGUUCUUUCGGAUAGGAGGCGUUACUCACAGAAGAAGCACCGGCUAACUCCGUGCCAGCAGCCGCGGUAAUUC